AACAUUGUCAAGUAGUUUCCUUUUAAGCGUAUGUCACACCCCGACUCUGUAGCUUGCCCAAGGCUAAUGAUAUUGGAUUUCAAAUCGGGUAUGAAAUAAACAUCAUUCAUGAUUCUCGAUGUUCCAUUCAUAUCAGUGAAAGCAAUUGUGCCUUUUCCUUUAAUAUCUAUCCGAGAAUCAUCUCCAAAUCUCACCUUUCCAGUGACUGAAGCAUCAAGUUUAUUGAAAUAUCUCCUAUCUCCAGUCAUAUGGUUGCUAGCUCCAUUAUCAAGAUACCAAAGAUCAUCACCACAUGUUUCGAUUUUGCUAGGCACACAAUGUUUCUCAUUCAGGUAAACGAUCUCAUUCAUCAUGAGUUCAUCUGCAUCUUUUGUACUUUUAGCAUCGUUUUCUUGUGUUUCCUGCAACUUAAGAAGACGAUCUGGACAUUGAGAUGCAUAGUGACCCAUUUUAUCACAACGGAAACAUAUUACUUGUGAAAGAUCUCUUGAACCAUAUCUUCCACGACCUCUUCCUCUGUAGUUUCCUCUGCCACCACGUCCUCUGCUACCAUGAUAAUCUCGGUUUGAAUCUGAACUAGCAUACAUCAACUUGCUUUGAUCAUCUUGAGUCUCAUCUUCUUCAUCCCAUACUCUUUCUUCAUAAACCUUAAUCCGUCCAACAAUGUCUUCAAAGCUUGUAUUCUUCAAAUCCAAAACUUGUUCAAGAGAAGCCACUAUUUGUAUGUAUUUCUUGCGUGGGAGACUCUUAAGAAACUUUUUGACAAGUUUCUCUGUUUCAAUAUUUUCUCCUAAGGCAGCAGACUUUGAUGCUAUCUCAGCCAACCUCCCGGAGAAAGCUUCAAUAUUCUCUGAGUCUUUCAUCUUGAGGCGGUCGAACUCAUUCAUUAAGGUUUGUAACCUUGCUUCUUUUACUCUCUCUGCUCCAACGUUCUUUUCUUUGAUUGCUUCCCAUACUUUCUUCGCUGUAUCUAACUCUCCAAUUUGCAGCACCAUAGACUCUGGUAUUGCUUGGAAAAGUAGAUGCAUGGCCAUAUCAUUCUUCUCGGGAUCGUUCGCUCCUGUUUCAAUGACAUCCCACGUUUUG
rnacentral:lncRNA from 1 species